rnacentral:misc_RNA from 1 species
UCAAUUUGACUUUGACAUUUAAAAAGUGAGAGUGGAAAUCCUGUGCAGCAGUAUUCUCGAAUUGAAUCAGAUUUUGUGAAAAAUUUGCCAAAAAUGGCCACCGUUGAGGAGUUGCAGAAGAAAGUGAAGGAGCUGGAAGCCAAGUUGGCAGCUGCUCAAGGAAAUGUGGGCCCAGCUCGUCAGAAAAUCGAUGUCAUGUCAUCCGAAGUUGUCGAUUCCAAUCCUUACAGUCGUCUGAUGGCUCUGAAGAGGAUGGGUAUUGUGGACAACUAUGAGAAGAUCCGUGAAAUGUCUGUGGCUGUGGUGGGAGUCGGCGGAGUGGGCAGCGUCACCGCUGAGAUGCUCACCAGGUGCGGGAUCGGAAAGUUGAUCCUGUUUGACUACGACAAGGUGGAGCUAGCCAACAUGAACAGGCUGUUCUUCCAGCCCCACCAGGCCGGACUCAGCAAGGUGGACGCAGCAGCUGCUACGCUGCAGAACAUUAACCCUGAUGUGACUAUUGAUGCCUACAACUACAAUAUCACCACUGUUGAUAACUUCCAGAACUUUUGUGAUACUAUUCGAACGGGCAGCUUAACCGGUGGCCCAGUAGACCUAGUCCUCAGCUGCGUGGACAACUUCGAGGCGCGCAUGGCGAUCAACACGGCGUGCAACGAGCUCAACCAGAAGUGGUUUGAGUCCGGGGUCAGUGAGAACGCUGUGUCUGGACAUAUACAGUUCAUCGUGCCUGGAGAGACUGCGUGUUUUGCUUGUGCACCACCUUUAGUGGUUGCUUCUAAGAUCGACGAGAGGACAUUGAAGAGAGAAGGAGUCUGUGCGGCCAGUCUGCCCACUACCAUGGGCAUUGUAGCAGGUUUUCUAGUGCAAAACACAUUGAAAUAUCUGCUUGAGUUUGGAACGGUCAGCCAUUAUUUAGGAUACAGUGCAUUGACAGACUUCUUCCCUAUGAUGGCAUUAAAGCCAAAUCCGCAAUGCGACGAUAGUUACUGUCGAUCAAGGCAGGCGGAGUACAGAGCCAAGCCUGUGGUGGAGUUGGCCACUGAGGUCACUGAGGACAGCGCACCCGUACAUGCUGACAAUGAGUGGGGAAUCAGUCUAGUCGAUGAAAAUACGCCAGAAGAUGAUGACUGCUCACAUCUUAAAUUGGUGGAUGGAGUUCAGGUGGCCUACAGCGUCCCAGUAGACAAUAGCACUCCAGAAUCAAGUACGGGCGGCGCCGUCGCAGCAUCAGAACUGUCUCUCGAAGAACUCAUGCAGCAGAUGAAGUCCAUGUAAUUUGCCAAAAGCUGCGAUACUUGCCCACUGCUGGGCAAAGCUACCUAACUUGCCCACUGCUGGGCAAAGCCGAGUAACUCCAUAUCAUUUACCACAAGUAUGAGCAUUUAUAUUUGGUUGUAUGAGCGAGUGAGUAUAUAAAACUCCUUAUAAUUUUUGUUAAUUGUUAAGUUCUAAGGAGAACUUAAACUUGUAAACUUAAAUUAAUAAUAAGUUUGAUCAGAUCGAAAGUGGUAUUUAUCGAAAAUGUGUUGUUAAAUGAGCUCAAAUUUAAAUUUCUACAUUAAGUUUAAUAUGACAUGACAUUAAAAGUAAUAUAACAAUGUAAAGUUUAUACAAGUUCAAAGUGAUAUGUGAUGUGCUACGAAAAGUUCCGAAAUAAAAAAAUAUUUUUAUUUAUUUCGUGUUCGUUGCUUCUUUGUGUAUGCUGGAAAUGUAUAAGCUAAAAGCAUUUUGAGCACGAACUAUGGACCUAACGGAUCUAAUAUCUGAGCCAUAAGCUAUGUUAAGAAUAUAUCGAAAUGGAAACUGGGUGUAAGCUUCGUGACAUUCCAGCUUAAACUGUAUAGUUUGUUUAAGAGUCAAUGCAUAGCAUAAGUAGUAGUUAAUUUAUUUUUUUGAUGUUUUUAAAAUUUUAUACCGAUAUUGUUGUUAGGUGCGCUGAGCUGAUUAUCAUUAUACAUAUUGUAAUAAAUUUUAUUAUAAUUAAAUAUCGUCUGUGAGUA